AACGAACGCUGGCGGUAUGCUUAACACAUGCAAGUCGAACGAUCAAAAUUGGGGCUUGCUCCAAUUUUAGUGAGUGGCAAACGGGUGAGUAACACGUGGGAAUCUACCUAUCAGUACGGAAUAACAUUUGGAAACAGAUGCUAAUACCGUAUAUUCUCCAAGGAGGAAAGAUUUAUCGCUGAUAGAUGAGCCCGCGCAAGAUUAGGUAGUUGGUAGGGUAAUGGCCUACCAAGCCGACGAUCUUUAGCUGGUCUGAGAGGAUGAUCAGCCACACUGGGACUGAGACACGGCCCAGGCUGCUACGGGAGGCAGCAGGGGGGAAUAUUGGACAAUAGGCGAAAGCCUGAUCCGGCAAUACCGCGUGAAUGAUGAAGGCCUUAGGGUUGUAAAGUUCUUUUAGUUGGAAAGAUAAUGACGGUACCAACAGAAAAAGCCCCGGCUAACUCCGUGCCAGCAGCCGCCGUAA
rnacentral:rRNA from 1 species